rnacentral:SRP_RNA from 2 species
GCCGGGCGUUGUGGUGCACACCUGUAGUCCUAGCUACUCAGGAGGCUGAGGCAGGAGGAUCACUUGAGCCCAGGAGACUGAGGCUGCAGUGAGCUAUGAUCAUGCCAUUGCACUCCAGCCUCGGUGACAGAGUGAGACCCUGUCUCAA